rnacentral:rRNA from 1 species
AACGAACGCUGGCGGCGCGUCUUACGCAUGCAAGUCGAACGGCAAGAGAGGAGCUUGCUUCUCUCCUAGAGUGGCGGACUGGUGAGGAACACGUGGGUAAUCUACCCUUAAGAUGGGGAUAGCUGCUAGAAAUAGCAGGUAAUACCGAAUACACUCGGCAUAUCACAAGAGGUGUUGAGGAAAGGAAGCUACGGCUUCGCUUGAGGAUGAGCUUGCGUCCCAUUAGCUAGUUGGUGAGGUAAAGGCCCACCAAGGCGACGAUUGGUAUCCGGCCUGAGAGGGUGAACGGACACAUUGGGACUGAGAUACGGCCCAAACUCCUACGGGAGGCAGCAGCUAAGAAUAUUCCGCAAUGGACGGAAGUCUGACGGAGCGACGCCGCGUGGAUGAAGAAGGCUGAAAAGUUGUAAAAUCCUUUUGUUGAUGAAGAAUAAGGGUGAGAGGGAAGACUCAUCUGAUGACGGUAAUCGACGAAUAAGCCCCGGCUAAUUACGU